UCAAUGCUCAGAACACAGUAAGUAUUGA
rnacentral:piRNA from 1 species